rnacentral:rRNA from 1 species
CCCUUAGACGUUCUGGGCCGCACGUGCGCUACACUGACGAAGGCAACGAGCUUUCCUUUACCGAAAGGUACGGGUAAUCUUUUGAAACUUCGUCGUGCUGGGGAUAGAUCCUUGCAAUUUUUGAUCUUAAACGAGGAAUGCCUAGUAAGCGCAAGUCAUCAACUUGCGUUGAUUACGUCCCUGCCCUUUGUACACACCGCCCGUCGCUACUACCGAUUGAAUGGUUUAGUGAGGCCUUCGGAUCCGCGACUCGUUUGUGGAGAAGUUGGACAAACUCAGUCAUUUAGAGGAAGUAAAAGUCGUAACA